UACGUAGGGGGCAAGCGUUGUCCGGAAUCAUUGGGCGUAAAGAGCGUGUAGGCGGUUCGGUAAGUCGGCUGUGAAAGUCCAGGGCUCAACCCUGGGAUGCCGAUCGAUACUGCCGGACUAGAGUUCGGAAGAGGCGAGUGGAAUUCCCGGUGUAGCGGUGAAAUGCGCAGAUAUCGGGAGGAACACCUAUGGCGAAGGCGGCGUCCUGGACCAACACUGACACUGAUGAGCGAAAGCCAGGGGAGCAAACGGG
rnacentral:rRNA from 1 species